rnacentral:rRNA from 1 species
UGGGGAAUAUUGCACAAUGGGCGAAAGCCUGAUGCAGCGACGCCGCGUGAGGGAUGACGGCCUUCGGGUUGUAAACCUCUUUCAGUAGGGACGAAGCGCAAGUGACGGUACCUGCAGAAGAAGCACCGGCUAACUACGUGCCAGCAGCCGCGGUAAUACGUAGGGUGCGAGCGUUGUCCGGAAUUACUGGGCGUAAAGAGCUCGUAGGCGGUUUGUCACGUCGUCUGUGAAAUCCUAGGGCUUAACCCUGGACGUGCAGGCGAUACGGGCUGACUUGAGUACUACAGGGGAGACUGGAAUUUAUGGUGUAGCGGUGGAAUGCACAGAUAUCAGGAAGAACACCGAUGGCGAAGGCAGGUCUCUGGGUAGUAACUGACGCUGAGGAGCGAAAGCAUGGGUAGCGAACAGG